AAAAGAGUCAAAUUAUAUAUUUGAUUGGAAAAUGGAAUGAAUAGAAGGUUUAAUGCCUACGUCACUAUAUCAGAAUAUGCUAAUUCGUCUAGAAGGGACAUGCUCUCUCAAUGACAAAUUGCAGUGUGAUGGGCUUAGGCUAGCAUCCACAAAGAUUCUUCAAAGUAGCCACCCUUUGCCUUGAUGACAGCGUGCACACUCUUGGCAUUCUCUCAACCAGCUUCACCUGGAAUGCUUUCCCAACAGUCUUGAAGGAGUUCCCACAUAUGCUGAGCACUUGUUGGCUGCUUUUCCUUCACUCUGCGGUCCAACUCAUCCCAAACCAUCUCAAUUAGGUUGAGGUCGGGUGAUUGUGGGGGCCAGGUCAUCUGAUGCAGCACUCCGUCACUCUCCUUCUAGGUCAAAUAGCCCUUACACAGCCUGGAGGUGUGUUGGGUCAUUGUCCUGUUGAAAAACAAAUGAUAGCCCUACUAAGCGCAAACCAGAUGGGAUGGUGUAUCGCUUCAGAAUGCUGUGGUAGCCAUGCUGGUUAAGUGUGCCUUGAAUUCGAAAUAAAUCCCUGACAGUGUCACCAGCAAAGCACCCCCAAACCAUCACACCACCUCCUCCAUGCUUCAAGGUGGGAACCACACAUCUGGAGAUAAUCCAUUCACCUACUCUGCAUCUCUCAAAGAUGUGGUUGGAACCAAAAAAUCUCUCAUUUGGACUCAUCAGAACAAAGGACAGAUUUCCACCACUACUCCACCGGAUCCCCGCCGUAAGCUCUGGACCUUGGCACAGGAUCACCGCUGCUACCGAGUGGCUAUAGUGGCUAAUGCCCCUGCCCCGAAGCUAGCACCAGUUAGCCGUGAGCCAGGCGCAUCUUCCGGCUAGCAAACUAAAUUACUACAACUACAAUACCUCUUUCGCCAUCUGGCUUGGAUCCUUUGUCGACACGGCGCCCCGCCGCACCACCACGACCGGUCUGCCGACGAAUACUCCAUCCGCUGUGCCUUCAACCGGCCUCUGUCGGACGUCGGAGCAGACGCUUCUACUAGCCCCGGGCUACUAACUUUAAACGCCGUGUCGCACGCGUGCUAGCGUAGUAGCGACAACUCCGCGGCUUCCCUGUUCCAUCUAUUGCUGCCCCCUGGACCCUAUGAUCACUUGGCUACAUAGCUGAUGCCUGCUGGACUGCCCAUUAAUCACGGUACUCAAUUCUGUUUAUUUUUUGUUUAUCUGGCGGCCCCAGCCGCGAACUCAGGCUCUGUGUGAAGUUAACCGACCCUCUCUGCCCAGUCAUCGCCAUUUUACCUGUUGAUCAGCUGUUGUCAAACCCGUUAUUG
rnacentral:lncRNA from 1 species